ensembl:snoRNA snoRNA:Psi28S-1232 snoRNA:Psi28S-1232
GUGUGCCUAUGCGCGAACAUUGUUUCUCAAAAGUAUUUAAACUAUCCAAAUAAAGUGGUAACUCAAUGAAAUGCACAUAGUUAGACAGUUUUCAAUGGAUUUCGACUCGGAAUCCGUGCAGAAUUUUUGUUGUUUACAGGA